rnacentral:tRNA from 1 species
AGUGAUAUAACUCAGGGGUUAGAGUACAGCAUUCAUAACGCUGAUGUCAGUGGUUCAAAUCCACUUAUCACUA